rnacentral:tRNA from 1 species
ACGGGCAUAGUUCAAUGGUUAGAGCAUCCGGCUUAUAUCCGGGGAGUUGGUGGUUCAAAUCCACCUGCCCGUACCA